UACGUAGGGUGCAAGCGUUAAUUGGAAUGACUGGGCGUAAAGGGUGUGUAGGCGGUUUUUUAAGUCAGGGGUGAAAUCCUGGAGCUCAACUCCAGAACUGCCUUCGAUACUGGCGACCUUGAGUCCGGGAGAGGUGAGUGGAACUCCGAGUGUAGAGGUGAAAUUCGUAGAUAUUCGGAAGAACACCAGUGGCGAAGGCGGCUCACUGGCCCGGUACUGACGCUGAGGUGCGAAAGCGUGGGGAGCAAACAGG
rnacentral:rRNA from 1 species